UACGUAGGGUGCAAGCGUUGUCCGGAAUUAUUGGGCGUAUAGAGCUCGUAGGCGGUCUGUCGCGUCGGCUGUGAAAACUUGGGGCUCAACCCCAAGCCUGCAGUCGAUACGGGCAGACUAGAGUGCGGUAGGGGAGACUGGAAUUCCUGGUGUAGCGGUGAAAUGCGCAGAUAUCAGGAGGAACACCGGUGGCGAAGGCGGGUCUCUGGGCCGUAACUGACGCUGAGGAGCGAAAGCGUGGGGAGCGAACAGG
rnacentral:rRNA from 1 species